CCUACGGGUGGCUGCAGUGGGGAAUAUUGCACAAUGGGCGCAAGCCUGAUGCAGCCAUGCCGCGUGUGUGAAGAAGGCCUUCGGGUUGUAAAGCACUUUCAGCGGGGAGGAAGGCGGUGAGGCUAAUAACCUCAUCGAUUGACGUUACCCGCAGAAGAAGCACCGGCUAACUCCGUGCCAGCAGCCGCGGUAAUACGGAGGGUGCAAGCGUUAAUCGGAAUUACUGGGCGUAAAGCGCACGCAGGCGGUCUGUCAAGUCGGAUGUGAAAUCCCCGGGCUCAACCUGGGAACUGCAUUCGAAACUGGCAGGCUAGAGUCUUGUAGAGGGGGGUAGAAUUCCAGGUGUAGCGGUGAAAUGCGUAGAGAUCUGGAGGAAUACCGGUGGCGAAGGCGGCCCCCUGGACAAAGACUGACGCUCAGGUGCGAAAGCGUGGGGAGCAAACAGGAUUAGAAACCCCGGUAGUC
rnacentral:rRNA from 1 species